AGGACGAACGCUGGCGGCGCGCUUAACACAUGCAAGUCGAGCGAGAACCUGGCCUUCGGGCCUGGGGAAAGCGGCGAACGGGUGAGUAACACGUGGGUAACCCACCCUUGGUACCGGGAUAGCCCGAGGAAACUCGGAUUAAUACCGGAUGGCCCAACAGCUCUUCGGGGCGGUUGGAAAAGGUAGCUUCGGCCUCCGACCAAGGACGGGCCCGCGGCGGAUUAGCUUGUUGGUGAGGUAACGGCUCACCAAGGCGACGAUCCGUAGCUGGUCUGAGAGGACGAUCAGCCACACUGGGACUGAGACACGGCCCAGACUCCUACGGGAGGCAGCAGUGGGGAAUCUUGCGCAAUGGGCGAAAGCCUGACGCAGCGACGCCGCGUGGGGGAAGAAGGCUUUCGGGUUGUAAAACCCCUUUCAGGAAGGACGAAGCCACUCGGGUGAAUAGCCCAGAGGGUGACGGUACUUCCAGAAGAAGCCCCGGCUAACUACGUGCCAGCAGCCGC
rnacentral:rRNA from 1 species